UACGAAGGGGGCUAGCGUUGCUCGGAAUUACUGGGCGUAAAGGGCGCGUAGGCGGCGCAUUUAGUCAGGCGUGAAAUUCCUGGGCUUAACCUGGGGACUGCGCUUGAUACGGGUGUGCUAGAGGACGGAAGAGGCUCGCGGAAUUCCCAGUGUAGAGGUGAAAUUCGUAGAUAUCGGGAGGAACACCAGUGGCGAAGGCGACUUCCUGGCCUGUUCUUGACGCUGAGGCGCGAAAGCUAGGGGAGCAAACGGG
rnacentral:rRNA from 1 species